rnacentral:misc_RNA from 1 species
CCGAGUUUACAGACUCCCAAACCCUUUGUGAACCUUACCUAUCGUUGCUUCGGCGGGAUCGCCCCGGGCCGGCCCUUCACGGGGCCUCCGGAACCAGGCGCCCGCCGGAGAACCCAAACUCUUUGUUUUUAUGGUUUUCUCCUCUGAGUGGAUUAUAAACAAAUAAAUCA